GUGUAACUUUCAAAAAGCAACCUUUACAACCUACAAGGGAUGCACAGCCGUGCUUAGGUCGUGUGGACAAGAAAAUGGCUAAAAUCAAGCCAUUUCUUUCACCCUUCCCAAGCAUAAACCUAAGUAUUUUUGCACAUAUGAUCAAAGCUUCUAAAGAUGCUCAAAACCUGCAUAAAAAGGUCCAUACAAUAGACUAAUAAUCCAUACAACCAAUAUGCCAUUUAGGCACCUCAAGCA
rnacentral:lncRNA from 1 species